GCCAAAAACUAGCCUGCACAACACACCAUAAAUCACUUCACACAAACUAAACCAUUUACCAAAUCCAGUAUAUGAGAUAGAACUUUAAACACAGCGCAAUAGCCCAAAUCGUACCACAAGGGAACCAUGAAAGACUAAUUAAUAACCACAAGCACAGCACAGCAGGGCUAAAGCCCCGUACCUCCUGCAUCAUGGUUUAGCCAGCAGCUCGCCGACAAAGUGCCCUGUGUCCGCCACCCCGAA
rnacentral:rRNA from 1 species